rnacentral:rRNA from 1 species
UACGUAGGGGGCAAGCGUUGUCCGGAUUCAUUGGGCGUAAAGAGCUCGUAGGCGGUUCGGCAAGUCGGGUGUGAAAACUCCAGGCUCAACCUGGAGACGCCACCCGAUACUGCUGUGACUUGAGUCCGGUAGGGGACCACGGAAUUCCUGGUGUAGCGGUGAAAUGCGCAGAUAUCAGGAGGAACACCGGUGGCGAAGGCGGCUCUCUGGGCCUUACCUGACGCUGAGGAGCGAAAGCGUGGGUAGCGAACAGG